UCCUGUUCUGGGCGCGGCGGCCAGAGCAGCACGCACCAGUUCUUCCUGCAGCCGCGUCGCCACGUUCCUGAAAACCACCGUCCGCCAUGGCCAAUGAACCCAGUGCUCUCGAGCCCCUCGGCUUGCUCCCGCGGCACCAACAUGCUCCUGAUCUAGAAGAAUUGCCGACGCGUCCAGGGUGGGACUGCUCUCCAACAUGGACUCCAGGUCAUUCUUGGACUGAAAGAAUUCCAGGUGUUUAUUUAGCUGAACUGAAUUUCGAGUUUUGGACAUGCUGUUUUAAGUGAUGCUAUUAGAAACAGCUAGAAAAAGAUAAAUUAGUAGUAACUGGAAAAAUGAAUACCUGCGGAAGGUCUACAAUAGCUGAUUGUAUUCAUUGUAGAAAAAGCAUUUAACCUCUUUAAUUUAUUAAUUGAUCCUAGAGCUAUGGUGCAGAUAGUGGCCAUGGUGGAUGGAUGAUAUGAGGUGAUCUGGGUGCUGCAUUUGAUGGCCAUGAUGUGUUUGCUGCAGGCCAACUCCCUGCUUGUGGCCUCUGAAGGUUGGGAAACUAUAAUUGAAAUGUAUCUGAAGACAUGGUCAGCACGUUUAGGCACUUAUGAAUUCGAAAAUGUUAAUUGUUUGUUGUGCACUAAAGUUUUUGUGUUCAUAGUGCUUCGCGCCGAUAGCUGAUAAGGCAUUGAUUUUUUGCCAAUGUAUACAUAGAAAAGACAUGUAACUAUAGAUUUUUUUAAGACAGCUAGCUACUUGGAUUAUGCAUUGGCAAGUACUCCCACAGAUACAAUUAGAACUGGGUUUGCUCUUAAUUAAGUAGCUCGCUGGAUAACUUUUAAGGAUUUCCCCAAAUCAAAAUAAUUACCUUGAAGUUCAGAUCUUCUACUGAAAGUCCUUUUCUAUCUAUGAACAUCAGGAGACAACUUCCAGUUCUAGUAGACCUAUCCGAUAGAAUUCUCGAAGCUAUUAGCCUGCAAGCUCUCAAUCAGGUAUUGUAUUUGCAACUUAGCGUAUUUUUUACUGAAGUUUGGUGCCUAACUCCCAAACAUCUUU
rnacentral:lncRNA from 1 species